AACGAACGCUGGCGGCGUGCUUAACACAUGCAAGUCGAGCGGGAAAGUUUCCUUCGGGAAGCGAGUACAGCGGCAGACGGGUGAGUACGACGUAGGUAACCUACCCUCGAGACUGGGAUAACCUGUCGAAAGACGGGCUAAUACCGGAUAAGACCACAAGGGCUGCGGCCUUUGAGGUAAAAGAUGGCCUCUGCUUGCAAGCUAUCACUUGGGGGAUGGGGCCUGCGCGCCAUUAGCAGUUGGUGAGGUAACGGCUCACCAAGGCAAAGAUGGCUAGCUGGUCUGAGAGGAUGGGCCAGCCACACUGGGCUGAGACACGGCCCAGACUCCUACGGAGGCAGCAGUGGGGGAAUAUUGCGCAAUGGGCGAAAGCCU
rnacentral:rRNA from 1 species